GGGGAUUUAGCUCAGCGGUAGAGCGCUUGCCUAGCGCAAGGCCCUGGGUUCAGUCCCCA
rnacentral:tRNA from 1 species